UCCAGUGUGGUGUAGUGGUUUCAGUGUUAGACUGUGACUCUGGAGACCAGGGUUCAAAUCUCCUCUCAGCCAUGGAA